rnacentral:rRNA from 1 species
GGUUAAGCGACUAAGCGUACACGGUGGAUGCCCUGGCAGUCAGAGGCGAUGAAGGGCGUGCUAAUCUGCGAUAAGCGCCGGUAAGGUGAUAUGAACCGUUAUAACCGGCGAUACCCGAAUGGGGAAACCCAGUGUGACUCGUCACACUAUCAUUAACUGAAUCCAUAGGUUAAUGAGGCGAACCGGGGGAACUGAAACAUCUAAGUACCCCGAGGAAAAGAAAUCAACCGAGAUUCCCCCAGUAGCGGCGAGCGAACGGGGAGGAGCCCAGAGCCUGAAUCAGCAUGUGUGUUAGUGGAAGCGUCUGGAAAGGCGCGCGAUACAGGGUGACAGCCCCGUACACAAAAGCGCAUGUGCUGUGAGCUCGAUGAGUAGGGCGGGACACGUGGUAUCCUGUCUGAAUAUGGGGGGACCAUCCUCCAAGGCUAAAUACUCCUGACUGACCGAUAGUGAACCAGUACCGUGAGGGAAAGGCGAAAAGAACCCCGGCGAGGGGAGUGAAAAAGAACCUGAAACCGUGUACGUACAAGCAGUGGGAGCACAGGUUUACCUGUGUGACUGCGUACCUUUUGUAUAAUGGGUCAGCGACUUAUAUUCUGUAGCAAGGUUAACCGAAUAGGGGAGCCGCAGGGAAACCGAGUCUUAACCGGGCGUUAAGUUGCAGGGUAUAGACCCGAAACCCGGUGAUCUAGCCAUGGGCAGGUUGAAGGUUGGGUAACACUAACUGGAGGACCGAACCGACUAAUGUUGAAAAAUUAGCGGAUGACCUGUGGCUGGGGGUGAAAGGCCAAUCAAACCGGGAGAUAGCUGGUUCUCCCCGAAAGCUAUUUAGGUAGCGCCUCGUGAAUUCAUCUCCGGGGGUAGAGCACUGUUUCGGCUAGGGGGCCAUCCCGGCUUACCAACCCGAUGCAAACUGCGAAUACCGGAGAAUGUUAUCACGGGAGACACACGGCGGGUGCUAACGUCCGUCGUGAAGAGGGAAACAACCCAGACCGCCAGCUAAGGUCCCAAAGUCAUGGUUAAGUGGGAAACGAUGUGGGAAGGCCCAGACAGCCAGGAUGUUGGCUUAGAAGCAGCCAUCAUUUAAAGAAAGCGUAAUAGCUCACUGGUCGAGUCGGCCUGCGCGGAAGAUGUAACGGGGCUAAACCAUGCACCGAAGCUGCGGCAGCGACACUGUGUGUUGUUGGGUAGGGGAGCGUUCUGUAAGCCUGUGAAGGUGUGUCGUGAGGCAUGCUGGAGGUAUCAGAAGUGCGAAUGCUGACAUAAGUAACGAUAAAGCGGGUGAAAAGCCCGCUCGCCGGAAGACCAAGGGUUCCUGUCCAACGUUAAUCGGGGCAGGGUGAGUCGACCCCUAAGGCGAGGCCGAAAGGCGUAGUCGAUGGGAAACGGGUUAAUAUUCCCGUACUUGGUGUUACUGCGAAGGGGGGACGGAGAAGGCUAUGUUGGCCGGGCGACGGUUGUCCCGGUUUAAGCGUGUAGGUGUGUGUUCCAGGUAAAUCCGGUUCACUUUAACACUGAGGCGUGACGACGAGGCACUACGGUGCUGAAGCAACAAAUGCCCUGCUUCCAGGAAAAGCCUCUAAGCAUCAGGUAACAUCAAAUCGUACCCCAAACCGACACAGGUGGUCAGGUAGAGAAUACCAAGGCGCUUGAGAGAACUCGGGUGAAGGAACUAGGCAAAAUGGUGCCGUAACUUCGGGAGAAGGCACGCUGACAUGUAGGUGAAGUGAUUUACUCAUGGAGCUGAAGUCAGUCGAAGAUACCAGCUGGCUGCAACUGUUUAUUAAAAACACAGCACUGUGCAAACACGAAAGUGGACGUAUACGGUGUGACGCCUGCCCGGUGCCGGAAGGUUAAUUGAUGGGGUCAGCGCAAGCGAAGCUCCUGAUCGAAGCCCCGGUAAACGGCGGCCGUAACUAUAACGGUCCUAAGGUAGCGAAAUUCCUUGUCGGGUAAGUUCCGACCUGCACGAAUGGCGUAAUGAUGGCCAGGCUGUCUCCACCCGAGACUCAGUGAAAUUGAACUCGCUGUGAAGAUGCAGUGUACCCGCGGCAAGACGGAAAGACCCCGUGAACCUUUACUAUAGCUUGACACUGAACAUUGAGCCUUGAUGUGUAGGAUAGGUGGGAGGCUUUGAAGUGUGGACGCCAGUCUGCAUGGAGCCGACCUUGAAAUACCACCCUUUAAUGUUUGAUGUUCUAACGUGGACCCGUUACCCGGGUUGCGGACAGUGUCUGGUGGGUAGUUUGACUGGGGCGGUCUCCUCCUAAAGAGUAACGGAGGAGCACGAAGGUUGGCUAAUCCUGGUCGGACAUCAGGAGGUUAGUGCAAUGGCAUAAGCCAGCUUGACUGCGAGCGUGACGGCGCGAGCAGGUGCGAAAGCAGGUCAUAGUGAUCCGGUGGUUCUGAAUGGAAGGGCCAUCGCUCAACGGAUAAAAGGUACUCCGGGGAUAACAGGCUGAUACCGCCCAAGAGUUCAUAUCGACGGCGGUGUUUGGCACCUCGAUGUCGGCUCAUCACAUCCUGGGGCUGAAGUAGGUCCCAAGGGUAUGGCUGUUCGCCAUUUAAAGUGGUACGCGAGCUGGGUUUAGAACGUCGUGAGACAGUUCGGUCCCUAUCUGCCGUGGGCGCUGGAGAACUGAGGGGGGCUGCUCCUAGUACGAGAGGACCGGAGUGGACGCAUCACUGGUGUUCGGGUUGUCAUGCCAAUGGCACUGCCCGGUAGCUAAAUGCGGAAGAGAUAAGUGCUGAAAGCAUCUAAGCACGAAACUUGCCCCGAGAUGAGUUCUCCCUGAGACUUAGAGUCUCCUGAAGGAACGUUGAAGACGACGACGUUGAUAGGCCGGGUGUGUAAGCGCAGCGAUGCGUUGAGCUAACCGGUACUAAUGAACCGUGAGGCUUAACCUU